GAUGUCUAAAUUGAAAUGAACUCUUUGUCAAAAGCCCAAUAAAAUUAAGCUCACGGUUAACAAAAAUGAACCCAUUUCGUGAAAAAAAAGGUCUCAGUUCUAGCUGCCAUGGCGGUUAUCGGCAUCGGAAUCUAAUUGUCUCAUUUCUAGCUAGCGUCGUUCUUCAUCAGUCGAUCUCCAUUCUUCACUCCGGCUAGUUUUAUUGCAGGCACACUUGGCUUAUGGGAGUGGCAACUGUGUUGAAAAUGCUUCAACAUUAAAGGCUGCAUACAAGGUGGGGGGACAUUGCAUCAAUGCUUAAUAUUUAUUAAAUGAAGAUGAAAACACCCACAUUAGUUCAAUGAUUGUAACUAGUUAAAGGGAAGAAUAGUCUCUUGCAUAUUGGCCAAUGGUUCAGUGAUUGCAACAAAGUAAAAAGUGAAGAAUAAGUUGUUUCUUAUUCUCCAAAGUGAUUUUUACUAAAGAACAUGACACGAGAUUACUGCAAAAAGUGUCAAGAUUGUUGCUAGGAGCUUGGGUCUCUUGAAGAUUGAUGAUAUAGUUUUAGCACAAGACAAUGCAGAGUGGAAUUUCGAUAAAUAAAUUGUAGUGACAGCUAUGUUUUGCUGCUGAUUCUUAUAUUUGGUCUAGUUGUGGUCUAGUAUUUUGUCUUUUGAAUUAUUUGUUUUUGCUUAUAAUUUAAAUGAAUGUAAACUCCAAAUUAAAAAUUAAAAUAAAUUUUAUAAAUUAGUUUUUAAAACUAAAUAUUUGUCACCAAAUAAUUAAUUUAUAUAAUUAUUUAUUUAUUAUUGCCAACUAAAAUAUUUGGUCACCAAAUAUUUCAU